rnacentral:tRNA from 1 species
CGAUUUGCUGUGCAAUGGCGCACACGCUGCCGCAACUGGUGCUUGCGCGGGUCUUGCAGGGGGCUGGCGGUUCGAUGCUGCUGCCGAUUGG